rnacentral:sRNA from 1 species
GUCGUGAGAUGUUGGGUUAAGUCCCGCAACGAGCGCAACCCUUGUCCUUAGUUGCCAGCACGUAAUGGUGGGAACUCUAAGGAGACCGCCGGUGACAAACCGGAGGAAGGUGGGGAUGACGUCAAGUCAUCAUGGCCCUUACGGCCAGGGCUACACACGUACUACAAUGGGAGGUACAGAGGGUUGCGAAGCCGCGAGGUGAAGCCAAUCCCAGAAAACCUCUCUCAGUCCGGAUCGGAGUCUGCAACUCGACUCCGUGAAGUCGGAAUCGCUAGUAAUCGCGAAUCAGCAUUGUCGCGGUGAAUACGUUCCCGGGCCUUGUACACACCGCCCGUCACACCAUGGGAGUGGGUUGCUCCAGAAGCAGGUAGUCUAACCGCAAGGAGGACGCUUGCCACGGAGUGGUUCAUGACUGGGGUGAAGUCGUAACAAGGUAGCCGUAUCGGAAGGUGCGGCUGGAUCACCUCCUUUCGAGAACGACGUGCCAUCCCACGGCGUCCACACAAGACACCUGCAUAUCCAGAAGCAUUAGAGCCUUGGGCUCGGGCGUUAUGCCCUGAGACUCCAGAGGUUCCGCCGAAAAGCGAAUCGUUGGGUCUGUAGCUCAGGUGGUUAGAGCGCACCCCUGAUAAGGGUGAGGUCGGUGGUUCGAGUCCUCCCAGACCCACCAUCGGCACUUGUCGCGGAUCUUUCCGCAGGAGACGGUCAUCAGACCGACUCUGCAAGAUAUCGGGGCUGUAGCUCAGCUGGGAGAGCACCUGCUUUGCAAGCAGGGGGUCACCGGUUCGAUCCCGGUCAGCUCCACCAGUUUUGCUUUUGGAUAACUGCGCACACACAAAUUUUUCCCGCAGAACGUUGAGGUUCUGCGGGGUUCUUUGACAACUUGGGACGUAACAAGCGUCUGAACUCUCACCGAGUUUAGAUGUGUCGUUGAGGCAAUUAGGCGAAAUAUUGAGUGUUGAUCGAUCCGGAGGCAACUUCGGGUUAUAUGAUCAAGCGAAUAAGCGUCUACGGUGGAUGCCUUGGCAGUCAGAGGCGAUGAAGGACGUGACAGCCUGCGAAAAGCUCCGGGGAGCUGGCAAUAUGCAUUGAUCCGGAGAUGU